rnacentral:rRNA from 1 species
CCUACGGGAGGCAGCAGUGGGGAAUAUUGGGCAAUGGGCGCAAGCCUGACCCAGCAACGCCGCGUGAAGGAAGAAGGCUUUCGGGUUGUAAACUUCUUUUAAGAGGGAAGAGCAGAAGACGGUACCUCUUGACUAAGCCACGGCUAACUACGUGCCAGAAGCCGCGGUAAUAAGUUGGUGGCAAGCGUUGUCCGGAUUUACUGGGUGUAAAGGGCGUGUAGCCGGGCUGACAAGUCAGAUGUGAAAUCCGGGGGCUCAACCCACGAACUGCAUUUGAAACUGUUGGUCUUGAGUAUCGGAGAGGCAGGCGGAAUUCCUAGUGUAGCGGUGAAAUGCGUAGAUAUUAGGAGGAACACCAGUGGCGAAGGCGGCCUGCUGGACUACAACUGACGGUGAGGCGCGAAAGCGUGGGGAGCAAACAGGAUUAGAUACCCCUGUAGUC